AUGAUAUACUGUUUUAUCUGGCAAAUAAUGUUUACCUUCAGGAUGGGCCGAAACUCCACUUCCACCAGUUCCUUCAGCUCUUUUUCACUCAAUGUGUCAGUCUCCUUAUCUGUUUUUGAAUAUUUGUGGAAUAUUUUGAUGAUGUCAUUGAUGUUUUCCAGGAUGGGCGAAACUCCACUUCCACCAGUUCCUUCAGCUCUUUUCACUCAAUGUGUCAGUCUCCUUAUCUGUUUUGAAUAUUUGUGGAAUAUUUUGAUGAUGUCAUUGAUGUUUUCCAGGAGGGUUGACAUCUUUUGGAACUAUAGGUAAACCUAGAAAGAAGUUAAAGUGUACAUUAUUUCUUUUCUUUUGUAGGUCAUAUCAAUUAUGAUGAUACAUUUUCACAUUUAUAAACCUACAUCUUUUCCUAGGUAGUCCAGCUUUAAAAAUGGAAGAUGGCCAUGAAAAACUUUUAUCCAUUGUCUACAUGAUGAAUAUCAACACAGAGUUUGACUGGACUGCCAACAUUUUGGCUUUGAUAUCUCUUUUUUUUUUCUUCUCCACAUCAAACUACUCUUUUAUUUGCACGCCUAGAAUAUCAUAAGUCACAAAAUAUCAAAAUAUCUCUCAAAACUCACUUUUCUUUUUUACUUUUCUACUCAAUAGCUUUAUUUUUUUUAAUUUAUUUAUUUUAAUUGGGGGCUAGUUGCUUUACAAUAUUGUAGUGGUUUUUGCCAUACAUUCAAUGAAUCAGCCAUGGGUGUACAUGUGUUCCCCAUCCUGAACACCCCUCCCACCUCCCUCCCCAUUCCAUCCCUCUGGGUUAUUCCAGUGCACCAGCCUUGAGCACCCUGACUCAUGCAUGAAACUGGCGAUCUGUUUCACAUGUGAUAAUAUACAUGUUUCAAUGCUAUUCUCUUAGAUCAUCCCACCCUUGCCUUCUCCCAGAGUCUAAAAGACUGUUCUCUACAUCUGUGUCUCUUUUGCUGUCUCACAUACAGGGUUAUCAUUACCAUCUUUCUAAACUCCAUAUACAUGCAUUAGUGUACUGUACUGGUGUCUUUCACAGUGGAAUUUAGAUACUCUCACAGACCUUUGGCAAAAGCUGCAAUAGAUUCUUCCUUUCCUUUAUCUCAGAAGAUGACGUUGAUUUUUAUUUCACUGAAAACUUGUGAUCUAUUAGGAAAGAAUUUCAUUUUUUCAGAAUCUGUCCAUCCAGCCUAUUGCAUUUGUAUCCACAUACUUUAACCUUCACUACUGUUUUGUGGAUAAAUUGUCCUUCUGUCCUUUAUUUUGGCACUGGAUCUCACUCUCUCUUGCCUAUUCAAACAAUUUGCUUUUGUAGUUAUUCACUGUUUCUCCUACCUCAUCAAUUUCUCUUUUUUUUCCCCUGAAACAUUUACUACAGCAUGUGUUCAUGCUGAAAUGUCCCUUAUUUAUAUCCCCCCCCUCAUCCUACAUCUUCCUUUAUACACCACCUGAUUUAUCUUUCCUCUACUAUACCAAAACCCCUCACAAGAUAGAACUAUAUUUUUUCUUCACUUUCUAUUUUCUUUUAUUCAGAUUAUCUGUCUCAAAAAUCCACUAAAGCUCUCAUGAUGAUUAAAAAAAUGCCCUUUAUCUUACUAUGUCCAAAUAUCCAUUUUCAUUCACAUGACUGAUGUAUCAGCAGCAUUUGAUGCAGAUGGCUACAUCCUCCUUCAGAGACCCCAUUCUCUUCCGUUUUUUUCUUCUGACCUCACUGCCUGUUUUUUUUUUUUAGUCUCUUAUUCCAGGCUCUAAUGUUGUUGUGCCUGAGAUUGAGUCCUUAGUUCCUUUUCUGUAUUUUAUGGUCCCUUGGGUGGAGUGGAGGGGUCUCAACUGGCUGUGUAACUUUAAAUCCUAUGUAUGGGUUGACAACUCUGAAAUUUAUAUAUCCAGCCAUAAAGUCUCCUCUAAGCUUGACAUAUGUAUGAUGUAUGACUUAUGAUAGGUACAUAAGUACCUAUCAAAUAUUUCUGCUUGGGCCUAAAAGAGAUUUUAAAUCUACCAUGUUCAUGACAGAAGCCUUAAUUUCCAACUACUUUAUGCCACCUACCUCUCCUCCCCAGUUAUCCCUAUCUCACUGAUUGCUCAAGCCACAAACCUGGGAUUUAGUCUUGGUUAUCCUUUUUCUCACAUCCUGUGUCUAAUUCAUCAACAUGUUUUAUUGAGUGUACUUUUAAAAUAUCCCUUAAACUGGCCACUUUUUCCCUCCAUACUAUUGCCUCAUCUAGUAAUUAAUCUUGAUUCAUAGCAAAACAUGCUGGAGUUUGUUCCAUCUUGAAGAUCUUCCCUUGGACAAUAUUUCCCCCACCACCAAGAUGUUCCACUCCAUCCAGCUCUCCUAGUGAAUGGUUUACUUUCUCAGCAAAGAGUCUUCAAAGAAUUUUCUGUGCUUCCCCUCAUUUUAUGUUUACUACUCAUUUAAAAUCAGUUCUCUCAAUUUUUUGUCUCCAAACUUGAAACCGAUUUGUGUUAAAUAACCUCUGGUCUAUAAGUUGCUAAAUACAGUGGUCGGUUGUUCAUCCUCCUCAUCUUACUCACCCUCUUAGGGGUGUAGAAUUGCUCAUUCCCUUUUUCAUGGAAUUUUUGGUUGUUUGUUUCUUGGAUCUUAACACUGCAUUCUCCUUAUAUACCUCUAAUCUAUCAGCUGCUCUUUCUCAAUAUUCUUCACUAAUCUCUCAUCUUUUGCUUAAUUUCAAAACGUUGGAAAAUCCCCAUGGCCUAUGUCCUUGACCUUCUCUUUUAAAAUAUAUCUAUUCA
ensembl:lncRNA